CUCCGCCCCGGAUGUUGGGGAAGCUGAGACAGAAGAUUGAGUGAAGCUGUAAUUUUGCUGCUGCUCUAGGAUCCGGAACUGAAUGGUGCAGACCGCCUUUUUUCCCCCCUUAAUGUGACGAAUUCUGGAUUUAAUGGGGGAAAACGUGCGUGAAGUUCCCGGGGAUAUAACCUGACGAAUCCCCUAUCUUCAUUUCCCCUCUUGCCUUACGGUUGGCUGCAGUACCCAGUUGUAGUUUGAAUUAUGACACUACCAGCACCACUCCUUCCCACAAAUGGAACUGUGAGCUCUGAAAUGAAUAACUACUCUAGUUUUACAUGCCAUCUUUUAUCACUUGAUGUCCUGCAUUAUCUGAGGUCUUCCAGCACAUGUAUCACACGACAGGCCCUUCAGAGCCACUAUAAGUUUUGAGAAGGGGAGUAACAUGUUAAACACAGUAAUUUAAGAAGAGCUGGUAUUGGUGAACAGAAUAAUCUGGAAGAAUUGAUACCAGGUAAAUAGAAUAUUGCAAUAAUCUAGGAAUGAGGUAAUGAAUGGACUAUAACAUUAGCAGUGAGAUUGGAUGAAUAAAAGAAAUAUUUUGAAGUGUGCUUUGUAUUUU
rnacentral:lncRNA from 1 species